rnacentral:rRNA from 1 species
GAUGAACGCUGGCGGCGUGCCUAAUACAUGCAAGUCGAGCGAACAGACGAGGAGCUUGCUCCUCUGACGUUAGCGGCGGACGGGUGAGUAACACGUGGAUAACCUACCUAUAAGACUGGGAUAACUUCGGGAAACCGGAGCUAAUACCGGGUAAUAUAUUGAACCGCAUGGUUCAAUAGUGAAAGACGGUUUUGCUGUCACUUAUAGAUGGAUCCGCGCCGCAUUAGCUAGUUGGUAAGGUAACGGCUUACCAAGGCAACGAUGCGUAGCCGACCUGAGAGGGUGCUCGGCCACACUGGAACUGAGACACGGUCCAGACUCCUACGGGAGGCAGCAGUAGGGAAUCUUCCGCAAUGGGCGAAAGCCUGACGGAGCAACGCCGCGUGAGUGAUGAAGGUCUUCGGAUCGUAAAACUCUGUUAUUAGGGAAGAACAAAUGUGUAAGUAACUAUGCACGUCUUGACGGUACCUAAUCAGAAAGCCACGGCUAACUACGUG